rnacentral:rRNA from 1 species
UACGGGGGGUGCGAGCGUUGUCCGGAAUUAUUGGGCGUAAAGAGCUCGUAGGCGGUCUGUCGCGUCGGCUGUGAAAACCCGGAGCUCAACUCCGGGCCUGCAGUCGAUACGGGCAGACUGGAGUUCGGCAGGGGAGACUGGAAUUCCUGGUGUAGCGGUGAAAUGCGCAGAUAUCAGGAGGAACACCGGUGGCGAAGGCGGGUCUCUGGGCCGAUACUGACGCUGAGGAGCGAAAGCGUGGGGAGCGAACAGG